AUUGAACGCUGGCGGCAGGCCUAACACAUGCAAGUCGAGCGGAUGAAGGGAGCUUGCUCCUGGAUUCAGCGGCGGGCGGGUGAGUAAUGCCUAGGAAUCUGCCUGGUAGUGGGGGAUAACGUCCGGAAACGGGCGCUAAUACCGCAUACGUCCUGAGGGAGAAAGUGGGGGAUCUUCGGACCUCACGCUGUCAGAUGAGCCUAGGUCGGAUUAGCUAGUUGGUGGGGUAAAGGCCUACCAAGGCGACGAUCCGUAACUGGUCUGAGAGGAUGAUCAGUCACACUGGAACUGAGACACGGUCCAGACUCCUACGGGAGGCAGCAGUGGGGAAUAUUGGACAAUGGGCGAAAGCCUGAUCCAGCCAUGCCGCGUGUGUGAAGAAGGUCUUCGGAUUGUAAAGCACUUUAAGUUGGGAGGAAGGGCAGUAAGUUAAUACCUUGCUGUUUUGACGUUACCAACAGAAUAAGCACCGGCUAACUUCGUG
rnacentral:rRNA from 1 species